rnacentral:rRNA from 1 species
UGGGGAAUAUUGGACAAUGGGCGAAAGCCUGAUCCAGCCAUGCCGCGUGUGUGAAGAAGGUCUUCGGAUUGUAAAGCACUUUAAGUUGGGAGGAAGGGCAGUUACCUAAUACGUGAUUGUUUUGACGUUACCGACAGAAUAAGCACCGGCUAACUCUGUGCCAGCAGCCGCGGUAAUACAGAGGGUGCAAGCGUUAAUCGGAAUUACUGGGCGUAAAGCGCGCGUAGGUGGUUUGUUAAGUUGGAUGUGAAAUCCCCGGGCUCAACCUGGGAACUGCAUUCAAAACUGACUGACUAGAGUAUGGUAGAGGGUGGUGGAAUUUCCUGUGUAGCGGUGAAAUGCGUAGAUAUAGGAAGGAACACCAGUGGCGAAGGCGACCACCUGGACUAAUACUGACACUGAGGUGCGAAAGCAUGGGGAGCAAACA